GAUCCUGGCUCAGGAUGAACGCUAGUUACAGACUUAACACAUGCAAGUCGAGGGGCAGCAUGGUCUUAGCUUGCUAAGGCCGAUGGCGACCGGCGCACGGGUGAGUAACACGUAUCCAACCUGCCGUCUACUCUUGGACAGCCUUCUGAAAGGAAGAUUAAUACAAGAUGGCAUCAUGAGUCCGCAUGUUCACAUGAUUAAAGGUAUUCCGGUAGACGAUGGGGAUGCG
rnacentral:rRNA from 1 species